rnacentral:snRNA from 1 species
AGCUUUGCGCAGUGGCAGUAUCGUAGCCAAUGAGGUUUAUCAGAGGCGCGAUUAUUGCUAAUUGAAAACAGUGGAUAUAUUUUAAUUGAACUUUUCUGUUUUACAACA